GAUGAAGAACGCAGCGAAAUGCGAUAAGUAAUGUGAAUUGCAGAAUUCAGUGAAUCAUCGAAUCUUUGAACGCACAUUGCGCCCGCCAGUAUUCUGGCGGGCAUGCCUGUUCGAGCGUCAUUUCAACCAUCAAGCCCCUGGCUUGUGUUGGGGACCUGCGGCUGCCGCAGGCCCUGAAAAGCAGUGGCGGGCUCGCUGUCACACCGAGCGUAGUAGCAUACAUCUCGCUCUGGGCGUGCUGCGGGUUCCGGCCGUUAAACCACCUUCAUAACCCAAGGUUGACCUCGGAUCAGGUAGGAAGACCCGCUGAACUUAAGCAUAUCAAUAAGCGGAGGAA
rnacentral:misc_RNA from 1 species